rnacentral:lncRNA from 1 species
UAUUGAAGGAGACAUAAUUGCUAGCAGUCUUAUCCUUGAAAUGAGACUGUUGCAUCACAUAAUAGGAGGAAUCUUCAUUCCAAAGUUAGGAAGGCAUGAUUUUGUGUCUGAAAGAGAGCUUAUGGUCAUGUAUUACAUUAUUAAGGGGAUGCCUCUAAAUCUGUCAGGAAUUAUGAUGCAUCAUAUAAGAGAGGCAGCUGCACGGA